GAUCAUGCUCAGGAUGAACGCUGGCGGCGUGCUUAACACAUGCAAGUCGAACGAAGCACUUUAUUAUGAUUUCUUCGGAAUGACGAUUUAGUGACUGAGUGGCGGACGGGUGAGUAACGCGUGGGUAACCUGCCUUAUACAGGGGGAUAACAGUUAGAAAUGACUGCUAAUACCGCAUAAGCGCACAGGAUUGCAUGAUCUGGUGUGAAAAACUCCGGUGGUAUAAGAUGG
rnacentral:rRNA from 1 species